GACCUAGCAGACUUCUCCAGUCUUGAGGAUGAAAAUCAAGAUACAGAUUCUCAUCAUUUCACCAGUGACCAGUCCAAAGUCCAGUCAGAUGAUGUUGAAGGUCCACUAAUUGGUGAUCAUGAAACUCAGGAGUCAGAAGGUGGAGAAGCUGAUCUACACAAAUAUCUUGUGGGCUGUAAGAAGAAUCCAGGUCAUAGCCAGUUUAUACCUGUUGAGACAUUCACCU
rnacentral:sRNA from 1 species